rnacentral:snRNA from 1 species
GCUGCAGCAGUAGAAUUGACUAAACUUGGAAUGAUACACAGAAGAAUGACACAGCCCCGGUGCAAGGGGACACACGAAUACAUGAAGUAUCCCAUACUUUU